UUUUGUUAACAAAAAUUUCACGUUUAAUACGAUUAGGAGCCUUCAUUAAUGGGUUACCUUAUUUAUUCACUCAAUUUUGUCUCCUUUUUAUUUAGGUUUAGGUCAUUAUUUCAAAAAUGUCUAGAGGAAAAAAAAUAGUUUAGAUUGAAAUGGUGUGUAUUGCAGCAGUUCGGUAUUUUUAUAACUAAAAAAAGAAAAAGCACAUUUAAAAGGUUCAUCAAGAGCUUAAAGAUGACAAUGGUAAUCUCCGUCUCCUCUAUUUUUAAUUUAUGUUUAAUCUUUUAUUCAUAGAGAAAGAUAAUUUAAUUAAAUCAAUUUUAUGUGUCUUAUUAUUAUCUUUUGCAUGAAUAUUGAUAACACAUAUGAGAAUAAAUAUGAAUUGUGUUAGAUAUGAUAGCAAGAUUAUAAAAUCUCAACAAGAUUAUAAAAUCUCUGAAGUUAAGAGGUAAAUUAUAUCCUUCUAUGACUUCAUUGUGACAAAGUAUGUAAGUAAGAGAUAUUCUAAUUUUCAACCCACAUAUUUAUAAACGGAGGAUUAAAUUUGUUAUGAACAAGCUAAUAACUAUUUACACUUGCUUGCAAUUGCAAUUUGUUUUGGAUUCAAUUUUAUUUUUAGAAUUAGAAUGACAUGAAGUUUUUGGUCCACAAGAUUGUUGGCUUUAAAGAGGGAGAGAUUUUUCUUCUCAAAAAGGACAAUUAAUAUAAGAUUCGUUAUUUUCUCCUUUUUACUAUAAAAGUGUAGCAUUCCAGAAAUUUAAAUCAAAUUGAAAUCGUUGAAUUUCGUGUAAUUCAACUCGAGCUAUGAUAAGUUGUAUCUUAUUUAAUUCAGAUUUUUAUAUAAUAUUUAAAUCCAAUUCACACCUCCUCUUCUUAUUUUCAGAAUAAAAUGAGACAGAGAUUGAAGAUUCUUGUACACGAGAUCGUCUGCAUCAAAGAAGAGAGAAGACUUUUCUUAUCAAAGAAAAUCAAUUAAUAAAAGUUUAAUAUUUUCCUCUUUUUUAUUAACGAGGCACACACCUCCUCCUUUUCUUCUUCUUCUUCUUCUUCUUCUUCUUCUUCUUCUUCUUUUUUUUUUUUUAAUUAUUGAGUGUGUAACUUCAUAGAUAAUAUGAAAAAAGGUUAAAAAUAUCCCUGAAUUAUUUGAAAUAGAUCAAAAAUAUUCUUCUUAUUUUUUAGCUUAAAAAUACCUUUUUGUUUAUUUUUUGGGCUCCAAAAUACCCCUCCGUUUAUUUUUGGCUCAAAAAUUUCUCUAUAAUGAAAUGCCAUCAAGCACCGCCACGUGGAUGAAAAAGUCACUUCGCCAGUACACAUUAGCAUAUACAUGAAAAAUCACUUCAUUUAAUCCAUCUAAUCAUCAACCCAUUUUUGUCUAUUUAAAAGAUCCAAUCCCACUCAUAUUAAAAGAAAAUCCGAUCCAAGAAGAAAAAAAUUGAAGAAUUUGAUUGCUUAUUUUCCAUGUGAUGGGUUCAGAUAUUCCGAAUCGAUCAAGGCAAAAGAUGAGAAAACAAUCAGGUCCUGAUCCGAAAGAAUUGGGUUGACCCUAAAUAAUUGGAUCCUCAAAUAGUCGAUUCGAUUUUCAAGAGCUCGGAUUGCUAGUGGAUGUCCUAUCUGAAUUUAUCUAAUGAGGAAUCCGAUUGUAGUGAGAGGAAUGAUAACUUGAAGAUGAAAUUGAAAUUUGGAGAGAGAAAGUUUAGUGGCAAUGUAGGACAACCACAAGUUGAUGAGGUCAAGAAUUGCUAGAGUGAGUCUCGUAGCUUUGAAAAUGUUAAUAAUGAAAUUGAAGGUGGUGAAAGGGAUGACUCGAAGAAAAAAACUGAAAAUUAAAUUUUGCAUGUUGGUUUGAAUUUUUUGAAUAUGGAUCGAGUUGGAUUUUUAAAUAGAAUAAAAUAGAUUGAUGGUUAAAUAAAUUAAAUUGAGUGAUUUUUCACGUGUAUGCUUGCAUGGAUUGGUUAAGUAGUCUUUUUUAUCCACGUGGCGUACUUGGUGGCAUUCCGUUAGAGAGAAGGGUAUUUCUAAGCCAAAAAAUUAACGAAGGGGUAUUUUUGAGCCUAAAAAAUAAACAAAAAGGUAUUUUUGAGCCAAAAAAUAAACGAAGAAUAUUUUUGAUCCAUUUCAAAUAGUUCAGAGGUAUUUUUUAUCCUUUUUCGUAGAUAAUAGCAUUCAUAACUAUGCAUUCUUUAUUGUGUAUUUCCCUUAUAAAUUGAGUAAAUAAUAUUAUUAAUUAUUUAUUGUCAUUCAAUAAAAUUUCACAUAUUUAACAUAAAUUGCUAUUUUUUUUAUAUAAUUUUAUUUAUUUUAUACAUUAUUUUAUUAAUUAACAUAAAAUAUACGUGCAAAAUACAUAUACGAAACUAGUCUACUGUAAGCAUAUGAAACAUUCACUAAAGUGGCUUACACACCAUGUGUCUCUCUUUUCCCCAUCGCAGCAAUGGCGACAACUGGCUGUUAUUAUGGGAUUCCUUUUUAGCAAAGUUUGUUCCAAAAAUAACUGUAGAGACUUUACACAAGUCAAAUAUAUCUGCUAUGGAUUUUAUUCUGUCUUUUAGGAGAGGUCAAAACUGAAAAGUAUGGUUUAUGGAAUGGGGAAUACUACUAGCAUUUGUUAUCAUUCCGGUUCAAAAGCUGGCAAAAAAUGAGUAAGCUACUUUUUAUAAUCGUGGUGUCCAGGUCUAUUGUGUAUACUUUGAUUAAUUUUAUG
rnacentral:lncRNA from 1 species